rnacentral:lncRNA from 1 species
GGACAGACCAAGACCAAGAAUAUGAUUCUCCUAUGCAGGGCGAGGUGCCAGGGUUGGACCAAAGCAUGUUUUAGAUCAGACAGUGCUUGAGGAUGAGUUCAGUGGGAUGGACCCCACCCCAAGACCUUUCAACCAGGGAGUGCAGAAUUCACAUCAAGGUCAGGCUCUGCCUACAACCUGCUGUGACCC